UGGGCUAUUCAACCCCCAAUUUCACUUACCAUAAUCUCUUGCGUGUUGAACCAGUCGAAGAGGGUCAGAAAACAGAGCCGGUUCGAGCUCCGGAGCAUCUUCGGUUCUUCCAUUCGCCAGAAAUUUUCACUUUCUGCUUCAAUCCAGGCCUUUCCAUCUGGCUUCACAGUUAAGGUUUGGCACUCAUAUUCUGAGACAAUGUUCUUGUGGAUUCUGUCUAUGAAAGCAGCAGCUUUGUUGUCAAUCCCGGGCUCAGCCACGAACCGGCCUCUGUCCUCCUCGCUCGGCCAAACCCUCCUUGCACUCAUGUAGGAAUCCUCCGCCAUGUCGUCCCCUCUGUGAUUGCGUGGCCUCCUCGAUUUGAACAUGCUGAAGAAUGAGAAGGAGGAUUUCUUCUCCCUGUUGCCUGCCAUAACUCUUUUUCGACACGAAAAGAUAAUUAAACACAAAGGUUUAAGUGAGAUGAAGAAAGUUCUUAGUACUCACUUUGGUUUGUUGUGACUAUUAAGAAGGUGGUGUGUAUUUAUAGUAGGAGGUGAUCCUAGUGGAGAAUCUUGGAGGAUUCAAACUGCAGCUAAGGAAGUGACUUUGGAUGGUUGAGAUCACAAAUAAGACCAGAGAAAAAAGGAGGUUGAAAAGUACAUUUUCUAUGGUCCUCUACUUUCUCAACUGACCAAAACAGACUCAUAGAAUCAUUGUCUUUCUCAAUUGACCAAAGCAGACUCAUACGAUUAUUGUCACUUUAUUUUUCGAAA